UUAAAGAGAUAAUAUGAUUAUUCACGACAUGCAUAACACAAAAUAAAGAAUACGUCCAUUUAUUUGCAUGUGUCUUUAGUAAUAUUCUGUGAGCAGGAUCGUUUUUAGAAAUGGAAGGAUAGCAUCAGUACUUCAGUAGUCAUGAACAUGCUGUAGUGCAAUUUUUCUUACAUUUGAAUCUCCACAUUGAUUUCCUGUUGAGGUAGGCUGUUUGGGUUAUCAUGUCUUCUUCCAGUAUCACAAUUACUAUGUUGAUAAUCCCGAAAGAUAAGUGGGUAUGGGAAGUCAUCCGCUUUAGAAGAUGGUGAGACCUUGGUUAGGCAUUAAACAAAUUAUAGAAUCCAAGUCUCUGUCAUUGAACAAAACUCAAAAGCUAUUUGCAACUUUAAUUUAUAGCAUUCAUAGUUUACGCUUUUUCUAAAAAAUCAUUUCUUGAUCCAUUUUGCAAAGUUUUACUGAAUCUAUCUCUUUGUUGUUUGGGUCGUUGGGCAUUAAUCAAUAUGAAGUUAUUUUGUUGUCAGUUAUUUUUUUUAAUUGUAAUUUGUGUUUAAAGUUCAUAGUGGGUGAGAGGAAUUGCUACCUGAACCAAUGUUUUUAGAUAAGAAAAGAUAAUCUAUUUGCUCAUAAUAUUUGAACCAAUGUUGAACCAAUGAAGGAUAUUGAUGAAAUCCUGAAACAAGUCUGAACUUGGAAGUACUCAUUGGAGAUUGGACUCAAUUGAUGCUUGAUCUUGGAAGUUCCACUUACAAUUAUGCUACCUAUGUAUUGCAGAAUCGGAUUGUAGGACUUUCACACCCAUUCUUUGGUUGAGAUUGUUAGAAUCAGAAAAAUUUGGACUCUGAAAUACCCAUUUUAGUGAUUGGAAACGCUGGAAAGUUGUAAGUGGAAAUGUUAUCAGGACACCACCAUCGGGAAGCUUAAAUAUAGAGGCAGACUUGUCAGUCUUCUUUAUUAUGAAGUUGAAACUAGGGAAUGGGAAGGGGAAUUGAGGAAUGCAAAACCUCUAUUUUUUCUGUUUUGGAGACUUAAUGGUUAACUGUAUGCAGGUGAAAUAUGAAGUAGGACGCUUCUUCAACUUACAACAGCAAGAGAGAGGCUUUGAAGCUGUCAAUAAAUGGUAUUGGAUAUAAAAAUAAUAAGUUUUUAUCAAAAAGUACUGAGGGGAAUAUGCGAAGCAUCACUGCCAGCAGAAGUUAUAAAGGAUUGAUUAUUUCUUUAACCAAGUCUUGUGUUCAAAAACUGACCUUACUACUGGUACUUGAAAAGAGUCCAGUUGCAUGAGACACAACUUUCUUUUUUCUUUCAUCUGGUCAUUAUUAGUGUAUUAACUGUGUAUAAUUUUAACUCUCUACAUUAAUGGAAUGACACCCCUUUAUCAAAACAAUAAAAGUAAAAAUGGAAAUAAAAACUUAUGCCCACGGUUGCUAACGGUGGCGGCGCUAAAGUCAGUCUGCUUCUAGGGUGGCUAGGGUUUGCUUCAUGCCCUAGGGUUAUCGUUGGGCUUCAGUGUAGGCUUCGUAGCCCACUCUUGCUUUAUUUUUAGUUUUUUAUUUUUUAUUUUUUCCUUUCGUUGUACUUUAAUUAUGGAACGGAGCUUGGUAGGGAAGGUUUAGGGCCCAUAUGAGGUAGUCUUUUGAGUAUUUCCCUUCUCUUUUCCCUCCCGUCAGGGCGUGCUGUGUUUGUCAGUACAGAGUUAUGUUUAGGUUCUCAUUUUAAUAGGGCCACACACGUGGCGGGUUCCUUUGUAACUUUGUUGGCCGAAGUAAUGAAAGUGUUCACGUUUCUCCUCAAAAAAAAAAAAAAAAA